rnacentral:rRNA from 1 species
UGGGGAAUAUUGGACAAUGGGCGAAAGCCUGAUCCAGCCAUGCCGCGUGUGUGAAGAAGGUCUUCGGAUUGUAAAGCACUUUAAGUUGGGAGGAAGGGCAGUAAGCGAAUACCUUGCUGUUUUGACGUUACCGACAGAAUAAGCACCGGCUAACUCUGUGCCAGCAGCCGCGGUAAUACAGAGGGUGCAAGCGUUAAUCGGAAUUACUGGGCGUAAAGCGCGCGUAGGUGGUUCGUUAAGUUGAAUGUGAAAGCCCCGGGCUCAACCUGGGAACUGCAUCCAAAACUGGCGAGCUAGAGUAGGGCAGAGGGUGGUGGAAUUUCCUGUGUAGCGGUGAAAUGCGCAGAUAUAGGAAGGAACACCAGUGGCGAAGGCGACCACCUGGGCUCAUACUGACACUGAGGUGCGAAAGCGUGGGGAGCAAACAGG